CUACGGUCACAUCACGUUCAAACACUGGUUCUCGUGAGAUCACCGAAGUUAAGUAACGUCAAGCUUUGUCAGUACCUAGAUGGAUGACCGCUUGGGAUAUACCAAGUGCUGUAAG